CAGCAGCCGCGGGAAUACGAAGGGGGCUAGCGUUGUUCGGAAUUACUGGGCGUAAAGGGCGCGUAGGCGGCCAUUCAAGUUAGAUGUGAAAGCCCUGGGCUCAACCUAGGAAUUGCAUUUGAUACUGUUUGGCUUGAGUUCGGGAGAGGUGAGUGGAAUUCCCAGUGUAGAGGUGAAAUUCGUAGAUAUUGGGAAGAACACCAGUGGCGAAGGCGGCUCACUGGACCGACACUGACGCUGAGGCGCGAAAGCGUGAGGAGCAAACAGGAUUAGAUACCCCCGUAGUCCCUGUCUCUUAUAC
rnacentral:rRNA from 1 species